rnacentral:tRNA from 1 species
GGGGAUUUAGCUCAGCGGCGUAAGCACCUGCCUUGCAAGCAGGUAGUCAUUGUGAGUUCAAUCCCUG